CAAUGAGCCACAUUGACCCAAGUCACCAGAGCGUGUCUCUUUUCAUCUUGACCCGAAAGAGCCUCAGCGGCACCAUGUAAUAUUCAUUCAUAUUGCUAUCAUAGCAUGGCUCAGGGGGCAUGAGGGUGGGACUGCUUUGUUGUGCUCCUCUCUGGCUAGACUCCUUGAGGACAACGACUAUGUCUUCUUUAAAGGCAUACCCUUGGCAACUGGACAGUGUAACCCCGUAUACGGCUUCUAAAGAAAGAGUAAUGAGGACCAGGAGCGUUCCAAAGGAGAUGAGCAGGCUGCCCUCAUAAAUUUCAUGGAAAGGCCAAGGCAGAACUACUCACAUCUUCUGACUGACAAGAAGCUCAUGGUGAUGAGAAUGCUUUUCUGUGAUCGACUACGUCCUACAAACGUGAGAUUCAGAGCUAGCAAGAGGGCUGACAACCUGAGUCAAGCCCUGGGACUCACAUGGUG
ensembl:processed_transcript Gm20033 predicted gene, 20033